AACGCACCUUGCGCUCCUUGGUAUUCCGAGGAGCAUGCCUGUUUGAGUGUCAUUAAAUACCUCAACCCCGAUGGAUUUGUUUCUUUCGGGGCUUGGACUUUGGAGCGUGCUGGCGCGAGUCGGCUCCUCUCAAAUGCAUCAGCGGAAAUCAAUCUUUGGCUUUCGGACUUCAGUGUGAUAAUCACGUUGCGCUGUGGCACGAGCCUCAAGGUCCGCUUACAAUGGUCUUUGGACGAUUUCAUUGAAUUUGACCUCAAAUCAGGUAGGACUACCCGCUGAACUUAA
rnacentral:misc_RNA from 1 species